rnacentral:rRNA from 1 species
UACGUAGGGGGCAAGCGUUAUCCGGAUUUACUGGGUGUAAAGGGAGCGUAGACGGCAGUGCAAGUCAGAAGUGAAAGGUCGGGGCUCAACCCCGGGACUGCUUUUGAAACUGUGCAGCUAGAGUGCAGGAGAGGCAAGCGGAAUUCCUAGUGUAGCGGUGAAAUGCGUAGAUAUUAGGAGGAACACCAGUGGCGAAGGCGGCUUGCUGGACUGUAACUGACGUUGAGGCUCGAAAGCGUGGGGAGCAA